rnacentral:rRNA from 1 species
CCUACGGGGGGCAGCAGUGAGGAAUCUUGCCCAAUGGGGGCAACCCUGAGGCAGCAACGCCGCGUGGAGGAUGAAGGCGUUCGCGUCGUAAACUCCUUUUCGAGGUGAAGAAGGAGGGGAGACCCUCUUGACGGUAGCCUCGCAACAAGACACGGCUAACUACGUGCCAGCAGCCGCGGUAAUACGUAGGUGUCGAGCGUUAUCCGGAAUUACUGGGCGUAAAGGGCACGCAGGCGGUCGGGCGGGUCCCGCGUGAAAGCUCCCGGCUUAACUGGGAGAGGUCGUGGGAAACUGCCUGGCUGGAGGCAACCAGAGGAAAGCGGAAUUCCCGGUGGAGUGGUGGAAUGCGUAGAGAUCGGGAAGAACACCAGGGGCGCAGGCGGCUUUCUGGGGUUGUGCUGACGCUGAGGUGCGAAAGCGUGGGGAGCGAACGGGAUUAG